UACAGAGGGUGCGAGCGUUGUCCGGAAUCACUGGGCGUAAAGGGCGCGUAGGCGGCCUGAUAAGUAGGGGGUGAAAUCCUGUGGCUUAACUGCAGGGCUGCCUCCUAGACUGUUAGGCUCGAGCACGGUAGAGGCAGAUGGAAUUCCCGGUGUAGCGGUGGAAUGCGUAGAGAUCGGGAAGAACACCGGUGGCGAAGGCGGUCUGCUGGGCCAAGACUGACGCUGAGGCGCGACAGCGUGGGAGCAAACAGGA
rnacentral:rRNA from 1 species